rnacentral:tRNA from 1 species
GUUUUUAUAGUUGAAUUACAACAGUGGUUUUUCGUAUCACAGGUCUUGGUUAAAAUCCCGGUGGGAACU